rnacentral:rRNA from 1 species
UGGGGAAUCUUAGACAAUGGGCGCAAGCCUGAUCUAGCCAUGCCGCGUGGGUGAUGAAGGCCUUAGGGUCGUAAAGCCCUUUCGCCGGGGAAGAUAAUGACGGUACCCGGUAAAGAAACCCCGGCUAACUCCGUGCCAGCAGCCGCGGUAAUACGGAGGGGGUUAGCGUUGUUCGGAAUGACUGGGCGUAAAGCGCGCGUAGGCGGAUCAGGAAGUUGGGGGUGAAAUCCCGGGGCUCAACCCCGGAAUGGCCUUCAAAACUCCUGGUCUUGAGUUCGAGAGAGGUGGGUGGAAUUCCGAGUGUAGAGGUGAAAUUCGUAGAUAUUCGGAGGAACACCAGUGGCGAAGGCGGCCCACUGGCUCGACACUGACGCUGAGGUGCGAAAGCGUGGGGAGCAAACAGG